rnacentral:rRNA from 1 species
AGAGUUUGAUCCUGGCUCAGGAUGAACGCUAGCUACAGGCUUAACACAUGCAAGUCGAGGGGCAGCAUGAUUGAAGCUUGCUUCAAUCGAUGGCGACCGGCGCACGGGUGAGUAACACGUAUCCAACCUGCCGAUAACUCGGGGAUAGCCUUUCGAAAGAAAGAUUAAUACCCGAUAGCAUAGUUUUUCCGCAUGGUUUCACUAUUAAAGAAUUUCGGUUAUCGAUGGGGAUGCGUUCCAUUAGAUAGUUGGCGGGGUAACGGCCCACCAAGUCAACGAUGGAUAGGGGUUCUGAGAGGAAGGUCCCCCACAUUGGAACUGAGACACGGUCCAAACUCCUACGGGAGGCAGCAGUGAGGAAUAUUGGUCAAUGGACGAGAGUCUGAACCAGCCAAGUAGCGUGAAGGAUGACUGCCCUAUGGGUUGUAAACUUCUUUUAUACGGGAAUAAAGUGAGGCACGUGUGCCUUUUUGUAUGUACCGUAUGAAUAAGGAUCGGCUAACUCCGUGCCAGCAGCCGCGGUAAUACGGAGGAUCCGAGCGUUAUCCGGAUUUAUUGGGUUUAAAGGGAGCGUAGGCGGACGCUUAAGUCAGUUGUGAAAGUUUGCGGCUCAACCGUAAAAUUGCAGUUGAUACUGGGUGUCUUGAGUACAGUAGAGGCAGGCGGAAUUCGUGGUGUAGCGGUGAAAUGCUUAGAUAUCACGAAGAACUCCGAUUGCGAAGGCAGCCUGCUGGACUGUAACUGACGCUGAUGCUCGAAAGUGUGGGUAUCAAACAGGAUUAGAUACCCUGGUAGUCCACACAGUAAACGAUGAAUACUCGCUGUUUGCGAUAUACGGUAAGCGGCCAAGCGAAAGCGUUAAGUAUUCCACCUGGGGAGUACGCCGGCAACGGUGAAACUCAAAGGAAUUGACGGGGGCCCGCACAAGCGGAGGAACAUGUGGUUUAAUUCGAUGAUACGCGAGGA